UUUCUUUUCUUUUUUUUUUUUUUUUUUUACCUUUUUUUUUUCCU
rnacentral:ribozyme from 14 species